UGUCUGCUAUGAACUGACAGAUCUCUUUGGCAAUGGAAGCGGAGUCUGCAGGGACAGUGAUGCUUUGGCCGUUCAUCAGGGUGACGGUCAACUGGAUAGCCAGAAGAGACGUAUCUAAGGAGCUGCCCAGAUCAAUAUAACUGAGCAAAAGGGAGUUGCUACCUGAAGUUCCAGCCAGCUUGGAGGCUCCGUCCGUGCUCCGUUGACAUAGGUCCGUCUGAGCCGUUCAGCGCAGUACGUAGAUGAAGUCCAUGAUUAAGACUGGUCACGGGAAGAAAAGGAUUGGAUAAACAGCUUUGGGAGUUUGGAUGGCCCUGGUAUCCUUCAUGACAUGGUGUAAGCAUGGACACAUAUCUACACACUUGUAUUUAGUGCAAGCAUGGGUCAGUCAGAUGGUUAUUUUAAUGACUAAGAAUAUUCCUACAGACAGAAUGGUCGUGUGUGUAAUGAAUUCUGCAUGGUUUUCAGUC